UACGGAGGAUGCAGGCGUUAUCCGGAAUGAUUGGGCGUAAAGCGUCCGCAGGUGGCAAUGCAAGUCUGCUGUUAAAGCGCAGGGCUUAACCCUGUAAAGGCAGUGGAAACUGAAUAGCUAGAGUAUGGUAGGGGUAGAGGGAAUUCCCAGUGUAGCGGUGAAAUGCGUAGAUAUUGGGAAGAACAUCGGUGGCGAAGGCGCUCUACUGGACCAUAACUGACACUCACAGGACGAAAGCUAGGGGAGCGAAUGGG
rnacentral:rRNA from 1 species